GGGGGCAUGGCGGAAUCGGUAGACGCACCAGACUUAAAAUCUGUUGGGCAUAAUGCCCGUGGGAGUUCAAGUCUCCCUGUCCCUACCA
rnacentral:tRNA from 1 species